GAUGAACGCUGGCGGCGUGCCUAAUACAUGCAAGUCGAGCGAACAGACGAGGAGCUUGCUCCUUUGACGUUAGCGGCGGACGGGUGAGUAACACGUGGGUAACCUACUUAUAAUACUGGGAUAACUUCGGGAAACCGGAUCUAAUACGGGAGAAUAUUGCGAACGGCAUGGUUCUGUAGUGAAAGAUGGCGUGGCUAUCACUUGUAGAUGAACCUGCGCCGUAUUAGGUAGUCGGUAAGGUAACGGCCUACUAAGGCAACGAUAGGUAGCCGAAGUGAGAGGGUGAUAGGCCACACUGGAACUUGGACACGGUCAAUACGCCUACGGGAGGCAGCAGUAGGGAAUGUUCGGCAACGGGCGAAAGCAUGACGGAGUGACGGCGAGUGAGUGAUGAAGGUGCUCGGUUCGUAAAACUCUGUUACUAGGGAAGAACAAAUGUGUCAGUAACUGUGCAGGUAUUGACGGUACCUAAUGAGAAAGCCCCGGCUAACUACGUG
rnacentral:rRNA from 1 species